AUGGUCACCAUGGGCAAGAAGGUAGACCAAGAACAGAGCUACUACAGCGACUGGGCGCACAUCGACCACGGCGUCGACGCCGACGGCCGCGCCACGGAGCUGCGGCCGCUGGCGCUGUCACGGCCGCACACGCAGGCGUUCCACCUCGCCUGGCUCUCCCUCUUCGCCUGCUUCUUCGCCGCCUUCGCCGCGCCGCCCAUCCUCCCGGCGCUGCGCCCGGCGCUCGUCCUCGCGCCCUCCGACGCCUCCGCGGCCGCCGUCGCCUCGCUCUCCGCCGCCCUCGUCGGGCGCCUCGCCAUGGGCCCCGCCUGCGACCUCCUCGGCCCGCGCCGGGCGUCCGGGGUCGCCAGCCUCGUCUGCGCGCUCGCGCUCGCCCUUGCCGCCGUGUACGCGUCCUCGCCCGCGGGCUUCGUCGCGCUGCGCUUCUGUGCGGGCCUCUCGCUCUCCAACUUCGUCGCCAACCAGCACUGGAUGUCCCGCAUCUUCGCGCCCUCCGGCGUCGGCCUCGCCAACGCCGUGGCCGCGGGCUGGGCCAACGUCGGCAGCGCCGCCGCGCAGGUCGUCAUGCCGCUCGCCUACGACCUCAUCGUGCUCCGCCUCGGCGUGCCCAUCACCGUCGCGUGGCGCGUCGCCUACCUUAUCCCGUGCGCAAUGCUCAUCGCCACCGGCCUCGCCGUGCUCGCCUUCCCAUACGAUCUCCCGAGCGGCUGCACCUACGCUGGAGGCGCCAAAGGGGAGGGCUUCUGGAAGGUGGUGCGAGGAGGAGUCUCCGACUAUCGGGCGUGGGUGCUGGCGCUCACCUACGGCUACUGCUACGGCGUGGAGCUCAUCAUGGAGAACGUGGCCGCCGACUUCUUCCGCAGGCGGUUCCGGCUGCCCAUGGAGGCUGCGGGCGCCGCCGCGGCAUGCUUCGGCGUGAUGAACACCGUGGCGCGGCCGGCGGGAGGGGUAGCGUCCGACGUGGUUGGAAGGCGUUUCGGUAUGCGGGGGAGGCUGUGGGCGUUGUGGGCCGUGCAGAGCACCGGUGCGGUCCUCUGCGUUAUGGUCGGCAGGAUGGGCGCCACGGAGGCUCCGUCGCUGGCGGCCACGAUGGCGGUGAUGGUGGCGUGCGGGGCGUUCGUGCAGGCCGCCUCGGGGCUUACCUUCGGCAUCGUUCCCUUUGUCUCCAAGAGGUCGAUGGGCGUGGUGUCUGGUAUGACGGCGAGCGGCGGGGCUGUCGGCGCGAUCGUGACAAACCGGUUGUUCUUCAGCAGCUCCAGGUACACGGUGGAGGAGGCCAUCUCCUUCACCGGCCUCACCAGCCUCCUUUGCACUCUCCCUGUGGCGCUCAUCUAUUUCCCACGCUUGGGAGGAAUGCUUUGCGGCCCCUCGGAAUCUGACACCGUCGACCAUGAUGGUCACGACGACGACGAUGAUGUAAACAAGGAUGAUGAUUACAUGCUUCUAAAAUGA
rnacentral:rRNA from 1 species